CCGGCGACCGGCGCACGGGUGAGUAACACGUAUGGAACCUGCCCGCAGCAGGGGGAUAAGCGGAAGAAAUUCCGUCUAAUACCGCGUAACACCGCGGAGGGGCAUCCCUCGGCGGUUUAAAGAUUCAUCGGCUGCGGAUGGCCAUGCGGCGCAUUAGCUAGUCGGCGGGGUAACGGCCCACCGAGGCGACGAUGCGUAGGGGUUCUGAGAGGAAGGUCCCCCACACUGGUACUGAGACACGGACCAGACUCCUACGGAAGGCAGCAG
rnacentral:rRNA from 1 species